UUUUAAAUGGCGCAUGGCGCUCUAAGGCGAGGAGGUUGGAGCCAUGCGCCUUGCGCCAUGGCGCUACAAGGCGCUCGCCUUAUGGUUAGAAUGCUUUCAAACGUGGUUUAGUUAUAUACAGCUUUAGAGAACUUAUAUAUGCAUUGAUAGAUGUUCUUAGGUUAGAACUUAGAAGUGUAUGUGUUAGCUACAGACGUGUAACUAUUUCUAUGGUUACAUACAGAGGAUAGUUAUAGAGUAGACUCGUAUAUAACACUAGUACAGUCAGCUAUACCAAACUGUCUUAUUUAUACACACUAAUAUAGUCAGCAACAAGUUAGUCAUGCACACUAAUAUAGUCAGCUAUGUACACAUAUAUAAACCCCAAAACACCAAAACAAAGAACUUGAAACAAAAAAAAAACUAAAUUCAAUUGAUCAAAUCCAACAAAACCUAAAACUCUGAAGAUCUAAGCAUUAUGUUUUAAGGAUAUUUAAAUGGUCGAGAAAGUAGUGAUAGAGUUCCAAGAUGUUUUAAGGGUUCCGUCAAAGUAGUGUUUUAACGGAAACGCGCGCCUUUGAACCAAGGCGCUUAUAUUUAAGCCAAUGGCGCACCAUGGCGAGCGCCUUGAGGAACUAGGGCUCGCCUUAGAGGACUGAGGCGCUGGGACCAUCGCCACGGUGCGCCUUGCGCCUUGGCGCAAAAGGCGAUCGCCUUUUAAAACACAG
rnacentral:lncRNA from 1 species